rnacentral:rRNA from 1 species
CCUACGGGUGGCAGCAGUGAGGAAUAUUGGUCAAUGGACGCAAUUCUGAACCAGCCAUGCCGCGUGCAGGAAGACGGCCCUAUGAGUUGUAAACCUCUUUUGUAGGAGGGCAAACCCCGAUACGUGUACCUGUCUGCAUGUAUCCUACGAAUAAGCAUCGGCUAACUCCGUGCCAGCAGCCGCGGUAAUACGGAGGAUUCAAGCGUUAUCCGGAUUUAUUGGGUUUAAAGGGUGCGUAGGCGGUCGGUUAAGUUAGCGGUGAAAUCCCGAGGCUCAACUCCGGACUUGCCUCUGAUACUGUUAGACUAGAGUGUAGUUGCAGUAGGCGGAAUGUGUGGUGUAGCGGUGAAAUGCUUAGAGAUCGUACAGAACACCGAUUGCGAAGGCAGCGUACCGGGGUAAGUCUGACGUUGAGGCACGAAAGCGUGGGGAGCGAACAGGAUUAGAUACCCUGGUAGUC